rnacentral:rRNA from 1 species
UAGGGAAUCUUCCACAAUGGACGCAAGUCUGAUGGAGCAACGCCGCGUGAGUGAAGAAGGUUUUCGGACCGUAAAGCUCUGUUGUUGGUGAAGAAGGAUAGAGGUAGUAACUGGCCUUUAUUUGACGGUAAUCAACCAGAAAGUCACGGCUAACUACGUGCCAGCAGCCGCGGUAAAUCGUAGGUGGCAAGCGUUGUCCGGAUUUAUUGGGCGUAAAGCGAGCGCAGGCGGAAGAAUAAGUCUGAUGUGAAAGCCCUCGGCUUAACCGAGGAAUUGCAUCGGAAACUGUUUUCUGAGUGCAGAAGAGGAGAGUAGAACUCCAUGUGUAGCGGUGGAAUGCGUAGAUAUAUGGAAGAAUACCAGUGGCGAAGGCGGCUCUCUGGUCUGCAACUGACGCUGAGGCUCGAAAGCAUGGGUAGCGAACAGGAUUAGAUACCCUGGUAGUCCAUGCCGUAAACGAUGAGUGCUAAGUGUUGGGAGGCUUCCGCCUCUCAGUGCUGCAGCUAACGCAUUAAGCACUCCGCCUGGGGGAGUACGACCGCAAGGUUGAAAC